CGCGUAGGCGGUCUUUUAAGUCAGAUGUGAAAGCCCGGGGCUCAACCCCGGAAGUGCAUUUGAAACUAAAGGACUUGAGUAUGGGAGAGGGAAGUGGAAUUCCUGGUGUAGAGGUGAAAUUCGUAGAUAUCAGGAGGAACACCGGUGGCGAAGGCGACUUCCUGGACCAAUACUGACGCUGAGGCGCGAAGGCGUGGGGAGCAAACAGGAUUAGAUACCCUGGUAGUCC
rnacentral:rRNA from 1 species